UAAUACGUAGGGGGCGAGCGUUGUCCGGAAUUACUGGGCGUAAAGGGUGCGUAGGCGGCCGAUUAAGUCAGAUGUGAAAUACCACGGCUCAACUGUGGGGGUGCAUAUGAAACUGGUUGGCUUGAGUGCAGGAGAGGAAAGUGGAAUUCCUAGUGUAGCGGUGAAAUGCGUAGAGAUUAGGAGGAACACCAGUGGCGAAGGCGACUUUCUGGACUGUAACUGACGCUGAGGCACGAAAGCGUGGGGAGCAAACAGG
rnacentral:rRNA from 1 species